AUACGAAGGGGGCUAGCGUUGUUCGGAAUCACUGGGCGUAAAGCGCGCGUAGGUGGAUCAAUUAGUUGAGGGUGAAAUCCCGUGGCUCAACCUCGGAACUGCCUUCAAUACUGUUGAUCUUGAGAACGAGAGAGGUGAGUGGAAUUCCUAGUGUAGAGGUGAAAUUCGUAGAUAUUAGGAAGAACACCAGUGGCGAAGGCGGCUCACUGGCUCGGUACUGACGCUGAGGUGCGAAAGCGUGGGGAGCAAACAGGAUUAGAAACCCCAGUAGUCC
rnacentral:rRNA from 1 species